GACGAACGCUGGCGGCGUGCCUAAUACAUGCAAGUCGAGCGGACUUGAUGAGAAGCUUGCUUCUCUGAGAGUUAGCGGCGGACGGGUGAGUAACACGUAGGCAACCUGCCUGUAAGACUGGGAUAACUACCGGAAACGGUAGCUAAUACCGGAUAGGUGAUUUUCUCGCAUGAGGAAGUCAAGAAAGACGGAGUAAUCUGUCACUUACGGAUGGGCCUGCGGCGCAUUAGCUAGUUGGUGAGGUAAUGGCUCACCAAGGCGACGAUGCGUAGCCGACCUGAGAGGGUGAACGGCCACACUGGGACUGAGACACGGCCCAGACUCCUACGGGAGGCAGCAGUAGGGAAUCUUCCGCAAUGGACGAAAGUCUGACGGAGCAACGCCGCGUGAAUGAUGAAGGUUUUCGGAUCGUAAAGCUCUGUUGCCAGGGAAGAACGUCUUAGAGAGUAACUGCUCUAAGAGUGACGGUACCUGAGAAGAAAGCCCCGGCUAACUACGUGCCAGCCGCCGCAGUAA
rnacentral:rRNA from 1 species